UCUUCCUUUCUCCUUUCCAACGUCCCCUACCACAAGUCACUAAAGUCUGAAUGUUUUUCAGUUCAUUGCUACAAGUGGUGAGAAAAGCAUCAGUAUUUGCAAAUGCCAAAUGAUACAGCUUCAAUGGAGGAUAUACAAAGCAGUGAGGUAGCAGCGCUGCCUGGUGUGCAGUUGUCCUUGAAAACCAAUGGACUCAGUGGAGACUCCUGCAGACAAAAUGUCUGCCCUCCUCAGAGGGCUAAACUGGAGCACAUUGCAGUUCUCUGAGCUUGAAGGAAGUAGAUUGCCACAGUAUAUUGACCUUGGAUGCCAGCCAUGGCUGGGGCACAGGAAGCGCCCCAGCAGAGAAGCCACUCUCUUUUUGACUUCAGGGACAGGAUCUGCAUGAAGGAGAAAGUGUGUGACUCAAUUAAGAUACAAUUAAGAUCCUCCUCCAUGGUCUCCCUUUUAUCUAGUGUCCUCAUUAUCCUGGUUUCUUUUCUUCUUGCUGUGGGGAUGGCACUGCCGUUGCAUGCUGAUGAGCAUGUCUGUGGCCCAACUUCUGAACUAGAGAUUUCUGAGUAAUUAAUUUGGAUUUAAGCUUCUCUAGCCAGCCCUUGAUAGACCCAAGAUUGAGUGCAUUGGAAGGCAUUGAUUUCUCCUCGGCAUUUUUUUGGUGCUUAGAGGUCAAGAGUCCAUUUGGUACCUGCCUAUCUAAAGUGAGUUUCAAAGUGAGUUUUGAAAAAUAUGCCAUUGUUUCAAGCAACUUGGCCUACUCCUGGGAUCCCAAACCCCUCCCCAGUGCUAUGAACGUUUUUGCAUUUCAUCUCUACCAUUUUGUCACAGAGCAAUUUGACCUCAUGAAACUAUAGAGUACUGGCUGGGCAUAAGGCUUGGCUGGAGCUCAGGCAGAGUACGGGCAUCUUGACACAAGGCCCUUACUAAUUUGAAUAGAGUGAUGAGCAGGUAGAAAUAAAGAUGUAAUUCCAAAAGACGAGUUGAGAAUUCACUCAAGAACUAACAGCCCCAGUUUUGAACAUUGUUGUUUGUGGAUAUACAAUGUACUCUGAUUUUUCCUAUUUCCAAAUCUCCUUUAAGACCUAGUCUUCCUAGAUUUCAUCAGAUUAAGUAAAACCACUCUUGCUCUGAAAUUAUGCAGCGCUUACUACAAUGGCUUUCAAAUUUUUGCUGUGUUCCAGGGUAAGAAAUGAAUUUGGUGUAUUAGUUCCACACAUUUUUAUAUAAGUCUAGUUUAAAGUUUUACUCUAUGUUCUCCUAGAGGUAGACCUUGAGACAAGGGCUCAUAUGCAAGUGGUUUAUUUGGGAGAUGAUGCCAGGAAAGACCAGGGAAGAAGAGAAGUGAACCUGGAAAGGAAAGGGGGACAUUAAAGGGUGCAUUAUCAACAGUUGCUUAAUUUCCCUGGGAAACACUGGGAAAUAGUUUUGUGGGAACCAGCCUUCAAGUUGGCCCCAGCAAUCCUCGCCUACUGUAUUCAUACCCUUGUUUAAUCCCCUCCCACACGAACCAUGUGUGUGCCUUGUUUGGCCAAUAGAACAUGCUGUCUGUGGUCAGCAGUCCUUGAGAUGGCCCCAGUUAUCCCUAUCUCCUGGUAGUCAUACCCUUGUAUAAUCCCUUCCCCAAGAACAUGGGCCACUUAUAACCAAUAAUAAGCGAGUCACUUCUAGCCGAUAGAAUAUGGUCAAGGUAAUAAAUGUCAAUUGUGAGAUUAGGUUACAGAAAGACCCUGGUUUUCUUCUUGUUUGUGCUCUCUUGGUCUUUUCCUCACUGGAUCCGAGGAAAAACCAGCCACCGUUUUGUGAACUGCCCUAUGGAGAGACCCAUGUGGUGGAGGAAGUGAGGCUGCCAACAGCCAGGGGAGUGAGCCUAGAAGUAGAUCCUCCCUUAGUUGAGCCUUGAGAUGCCUGCAGCCUCAGCCAGCACCUUGAGAGAGAGCCUGCAGCCUCAAGAGAAACCUUGAAUCAGAGGCACCUAGAUAAGCUGUCUCCAGAUUUCCUGACCCCUAGAAAUUAUGAGUUAAUCAUUUUUUAAAGCUGCCAAGUCUUGGGGUAAUUUGUUUUGUAGCAAUAGAUAAUCAAUGCAGUAUCUGACUUUUGAGGCUAGGUCAUAAAAGACAUUGCUCUUCCCACUUCGAUCUCUCUUUCUCUUGGAUUACCAGCCCUGGGGGAAGCCAGUCACAGAUCAUGAGGAGACUCAAAAUGUCCUAUGGAGAGGUCCAUGUGGUCAUGAGCUGAGGCCUCUUGCCAACAGCCAGCACCAACUUGCCAGAUACGUGAAUAAGCCAUCUUGGAAGCAGAUCGUUCAGUGCCGUCAAGUCUUUGGUUGGCUGCAGCCCCAGAAGACAUCUUGACUACAAUCUCAUGAGCAAUCUGGACCCAGAACCACCAAAUUAAGUUGCUCCUUAAUUUCUGACCCAAGGAAAGUGUAAAAUAGUGAAGUUAUUGUUAUAUUAAGCUGCCAUAUUUUGGGCGUAAAUUGUUUUGCACCAAAAAAUAAUGAAUGUAGCAUAGAACAAGAGACUCAGAGUUAUCCUACCUAAGUAGAGGAGCUGGGGUAUUUAUACACCAAUACCCAUCUAUCAAUGGAUGAGAGCUGUUUCUAGGGUCUAUUAAUUCUCCAGCAGUUCCCUGUGGGCACAGAGGGCUUCAGUGGCCAGAAGAAGCCUGCAGGCAAAGAGAUCCAGAUGUCGGCAGUUGGAAGUCAGGCCUGGGUGUACCGAAAAGUAAGGGUGAGGGGAUAUGGGAUGGGUUGCUCACGGGACUUGCUAACUUGCAAACUCAGUUGAAAUUUCAUCUACAUCACUUCCCUCCUCCCAGGCAAGCUUGGAGUACCUACUCCUUCUUUAGGGCUUGGUCCCUCCAGGGUGGUUUUCUGGUAGAAGGAAGAGGAAAAGGACAAGCAUCUCUUUAUAUAACUGUGCCCAUCUCUGAUGUUCCCUUUGUUGGAUGGUGGUGGUUCUUGGGCCAGCAAUGACUGGUUGUUGAUGCCCUCUGUGGCAGGAGUUCAAAGGCUAGACCUCCUUGCAGUGUGCGUGUCUAGAUUUUCUGAAUGGCCCUGUGUCAAUUCCCUGAUGGAUAUUCACCUCUUCAACUUCCACUCAGCUUUCACUACUGCCUCCCUUUGACUGGUGGGCAGCCCUGUUGGGUGGAGUAGAGGCAAGAUAAGUCAAGUGCAGCCACUUUAGGUGAUGUUGCUUGACUUUUGGGGGAAUCACAUCAUCAGCCUCACCAAAAUGCUGAGGUGCAGGUUGUUCUGGGCUUUUCUCUGCCAUGUACCUCCUCUUCAGGAGUAUGCCCUGCUAGGGUGGACACAGGACACAGGGCAUUCCCAUCUUGCAGUAAUCUCAGAUCUUUACCACUGAUACAGAGCCCUUUCCAUUGUCUUCUAAAUGGGAACAGCACUCACACCUCUCGGGAGGAAUCAUUUCUCAUCCAGCACUACUUUCCAGUUGGUGACUCAGGUGUGCAUCCCAGCUUCUGUUUUUGGAGCAACAGAAAAAAGUCUUGCCAAGUACCCUGUAAUACAAAUAAAAUGCUUUCACAGUGCUGGGCAGUGGGUACUCCACGAAUGUUCAUUUCCUGCCUCUUCUCAGUGAUGACAAUGGAGGUUGCACAGGUGUGGUUGGCUUGAAGACAUGAGGUUUAAUACAAUAGGCUCAGAGAGAGGGAAAGAAAAGAGCUCAUGCAUUCUUGGCUCCUAGUGCAGAGCGUAGCAUGGAAUGGGUGCUGUAGGUAUUCACUGAAAGAAUGAAAAACAUAGCUGAUGUAGGAGUCUUUUCAACAGAAAGCAAAUGCAUAGAGGCACAGAGGUCCAUAGCGCCAUCCUCUGGGAAGACACAGGGUGGUGGCCUUACCCUGUUCAUCAGUGGCCAGCUCCUUCAGGCCAGGAACCUUUCCUUCCCAGCCUGGCUUCCGUUAUUGGGCACCAAGCCGCUGCCAUCCCACUUGCUUUUUUUUUCCCUGUAAAAUGUGGCCAUAGCCAAGUCCCUCACCAUACACCCUCCCUUCCAGAGGAAGGCUGCUCAGGCUCCCUCCCCGUUCCCUUUCUUCCUUCUUUUCUUGUUCCAUCCAUAUAUUUCUGUAUCUACUACAAAGGUCAGAAAAACAAAUCAAUGAAGAGAAGGACCCAAUAAUCCUAAGACCUGACUCAGGGAUGGGAGGUGGCGAGGGAAGCCACUCAAUAAAAUGAAAGAGAAUUAAAAAAUUCCCUGAACAAGGCACAGCGUGGGGUCCCGAUCAAAGGACCAGGCAGCUUUGGUCCUGUGUGCACGAGCUGGAUGCUCUGAGGCUGGGGGAGAGAUGGGCUUCCAGGCCUCGGUCUCCCUCCCUGUUUCCUUUCCAUCACACACACAAAAACACAUACACACACAAAAAAACACAUACGCACACAUUCAUUCUCUCUCUCUCGCUCGCUCUCUGUCUGUCUCUCUCUCUUCUUGGACCACCAUUUGUUAAGGAAACAUCUGACUAUGGAUUUCAGGAGUCUGGGAAGCAGAGGGAAGAAGACAUUGACAGCUUACUUAUUUCCCUGUAGAGGUCCCAUUUGCCAACGCUGCUCCCAAGAUCUCCACCCACUACAAGAGAAGUACCAGGUCAAGGGUAUUGAUAGUGACUGAGGAACAGAACGUUACAAAUCCCACCUGGAAUUUUCUGAACCUACCUUGAAAGAAGGUAUGAAAAUAAAAGCUGGUGGAUCUUAAAAGAGCUAAAUCAGCUUCUAAAGUCCCUUCUUUGUGAACAGCAGCUCUUCCAUGAAGUCCUUCCUGACACCUAUCACUCCCUAACCCCCACGGAGCACUCUUUCCUCAGAGCAUCCACUAUACUCCAGUACUCUUCUACCAGAGCACCGGGGUUGCAUUAUCAUUUCUCAUUAUUUGUCUGUCCCAUUCUAUUCUAGGAGGGUCGAGGGUAAAGCAGAUCAACAGCAGACUGCCUGAGCUCAAAUUGAGCCACCAGCCCUUACUGGCUGUGUCAUCUUGGACAAGUAACUCAACCUUAGUUUCCCCAUCUGUAAGCCUUUGUGGCUUUUCUCCUCCAGGUUCUAUAGCCUCUGUUCUUCUCACAGUUUUUCAUGUAACAUGGCUUCCAAAAACCCCAAAAAGGUUUUUUUAUUGUUUGUUUUUUGUUUUUUGUUUUUAGCAAGAACAGCAUCAUCAGAAUAAGACUAGAAGUUCCUCACUUUGGGAAGGCUCCCUUGGAUGUAUAUGUUCUAGCAUGUUUGCUAUCAAGGGACACAUCACUUUAUGCUUAUUGUGCAGAGCUAUAGAAAAUAUGUGGACUUCCAUAUAUUCCUAGGUCAGAGAAAUGGCAGCUGGAUCCAGGAAGAUGAGAAAUUUGAGCAGGCUUAGAAGUUGGCAGCCUACAACACAUUGAUUUGUGUCUUUUUUUUUUUUUUCAAGCCUACCUUUUCUUUGUCUUUUUCUGAUUUAUAAAGCUACAAAACCAAAUAUAAAUCUUGUAUUUGUAAGCCACUUUCCACAUUAUUCAUCUAAUAACCCUCUGUGUGGCAUACACAUUAUUUUUUCCAUAAACUGAAGCACCAUAGAGGGUGAGAAUGACUUGUCCAUUAUUUGGAUAUACAAUUUAUCUAUUCAUUCUUUUAUUGAUAGACAUUUCAGCUAUUUACACUUAGGGACUUUUAUAAAUAAAGUUACUAUGAACAUUA